GGAUGUAGGCAGAUUUCAGGCAACUUUCUCGCCGCGGAGAGCGAAAUUUUUGUCAGGGUGACUGCGGUGCGGAGGGGGCUGGGGCGGGGGGAGGGUCAUGAGGAGAACGAACAGUGCUCUGCUGAACACUUUCUCUUUAUUGCGAAACGAGUUGCGCGGCAUUUUCACGACCGGACUGGAAUGAAACUGGACAUCCUCGGAGAGAUACCUCCGCCGUCGUCGCCGUUGCAGCCUCAUCUUCUUUUCCUUCUUCUCCAACGUCUUCUUCUUCCGCCUGCGUCUGCUCUUUCCCCUUUUCUGUUAGUUGAUGCUGCUUUUGGCGUCUGGUUUUUGUUGGCCAGCCCAAAAAAGCGGCGCAACUUUCGUCGCCGCAUUGCGUUGCGUUGCGAUGCGUUAGUGCCCAGUUCCGGCUUCUACGGUGGCUCCGGUCUCCGCUCUGCACUCUCCUGCCGCCAUACUUCGCACCUUUCCCUCUCUCUCGCACUCUUCUCACCUGUUUAUCCGCAGACGCAGCACCGCCAAAGCGAAAAGCGGCUUUUAAUGCGCAAGCGAAACGAAACGAAAUGGAAUAAAGGCAAAAGCAAUCGGAGAAAUGUCGCCUGCUGCUCCUUUGGCGGCGCUCGUUUUCACCCUCUCUCCCAACACACACACACAUACACUCAUUCUCCUUUUGGGCAGUUCCUGCACUCUUUUGGAAAAGCUUGUAAAGCUUCAUACGUAGUGUGUGUGUAAGUGUGUGCGUGCGAAUGAAUGAAAUCGCUAAUCACGGGAAUGAUCUGAGGCCGAAGGCGAUGGGAGAGAGAGAUGGGAAGUUUCCCAUACAUAUCAGCCCAUAUCUUAUUGACCAAGCAUAUUUGACCCAAUUUUUUAAGAAACUUUCAGGAAGUUUAAAAUGUUGUAAAAAAAAAAAGUCUUGAAGUGAUGAUUUAUGAAUUGACGUUAUAGAACUUCGGUGUAUAGAAAAUAUAUAUACCUAUGUAUAGUAUUUAGUUACCUGAUAUCUUCGCUGACUCACCUGGAAUGCUACAAGUGUGUCUCAAAUGCGAGUGACACACCCAAAAAAAAAAAAAAACACUUCCAGCAGGUGUUACAGGUGAGCUACAGGUGACAGUCAGUCAGUCAGCCAGGCAGGCAGACGGAAUGUCUGGCGCGGCAUGGCAUUUGGAUUGGAUUGGAGUGGAGUGGAAUGUCAAACGUUUAUUUGCCGCUCCAAGCCAGCCAGCUCUUUGGCCAGAGGCCCACCCGCAAGCGCAAGUGGAUGACCCACCUGGACUCGUCCCUCCCCUUGCUCCGUUCUCUCCACCUGCAUGGAAGCAAUCCGGCUGAUUGCAGAUUUGUUUUCUAUUUGCAAUUGAUCGAUGCGAUGCUGGUUGGCCAGCAGCAACGGCGACAGCGACAGCGUCUCAGCCACAUGAAAUUGGAAAAAGACAAAAAAAAAAAAAAAGUUAACAUAAAAAUUGAGCUGGACGUCCACGUCUACGUCCGGUGGGUUUGUUAAUGGCAUUCCGAACCUGGGAUCACACAGAUGGAUUAUAUGGUCAGCCAACUUUCAGCUCAGGGAGCCCAGAAGAUCAAAAAUAUUGGCAUUACUAAUGGUAAAAUAGUGUAGUCUCUUGGCUAGUUUCGCUCGCCGUUCAAUUAUGCAGCGACACAGACACAUACAAACACCUUUGUAUACUAGCUCCAUAGAGUGGAAAAUGGCCAACGAGGUGGAGUUCCGAGGCCUCUGUGCGUGCCCUUCCCAUGGCCACCAUCCAUCAUCCAGCGGCGUUAUGGUCUCGUCGAGCCCCAGCAUAACCCAUCAAGUGGGUUCCGUUUUGUUUGCGCAUGCGCCGCGCAUUCAGCAUCGAUAUUUCACGAUCGUCGUCGUCGGGGUUUUAUGGCAAUGGAGAAAUAUACAAAAAAAAGCUAUAGAAACGGGGGAGAUGCUAUGGCGAUGGCGAUGGCCAGAUGGAGGCGGAGAUGGUGCCCACUUCGUGCUGCUAUUUGGUGGUCCGCGAUUUUGUUUUCAUUUGGAAAGUGGGUGUGUUUGUCUAGCUGUCCGAGUGGCGAGCGGAGCGGCUUCUCCCCAUUUUGAAGAAAAGGGGGAGGGGGCUGUGGGCCCUGGGAAUGUCCGUUUUUGGCCUCAAGUUCGAGGCUAGGAAAUGUCUGAGGAAUGUGUGUGUGUGUGUUCUUUGGCCAAAGGAAAGUGAUCUACGAUUGAUGUGAUCUUUCUAAUACAAGGUCUUUUGUCCACGGGGAAGGUUAAGUGGGUGAGCAGGGAGUCAAGUGGCUGUAUUCACUCUCAAGGUGGCCCCUCAAAUAGUUGUAACUUUAAUUUAAUGAUAGCUUUAACUAAAGCUAAAGCCAGCUAGCCAAGGAGUAAAAUCGUUAAACAAAAAUAAAUACCUAAUGAAUUAUUUUGGGGUUAUAUUGCCUAUAAAUUAUAUUUCUUUAUUUUUAGGAGUUAGUUUUAAAGCUGAAUUAAGGUAAUUUGGAUCCUAAUUAAUUAAAGUUGAGAAAUUAAUUCGGUAUUUUAGUUGUUUAUCUCUAAAUUAUAAUGAAGCCUUUAAAAUAUAUU